AGGGCAGUAGCUCUAAUUGGUAGAGCGAAUGACUCCAAAUCAUUAGGUUGGGGGUUCGAAUCCCUCCUGCCCUGCCA
rnacentral:tRNA from 1 species